rnacentral:misc_RNA from 1 species
CUGUAAAAUAACUCCUCCUGUGGCAGUACACCGAUGACUAUUGUGGCUGCUGGAUGCAGAAAAAUAGCUGACCUCGAUCACCCGAAGUUUAUCUGUGUCUCAAAAAUUCCAAAAAUUUAUGAGGAAGCCUCUGGAAGUUGAACCAUCUCCAUAGCUCACCGGAGCCACCGCCGGCACCACCGCGCACGGUGGCCGGCCGCCGGUCGCCGGCGACAUUUGCCGGGUCUGAUCAUACCACCAUGUUCCUCUCCUCUUCCUCAGUCCAUAUGUGGUCUCGGAUCGUCGAUCCAACGGUCGGAUCGUCGUAGAUCUGACGAAAAAGCUUGAAAAACCCGAAACUUCUCUCCUCCAUAUCUCACUCAUCCGACCUCCAUUUGCUUCAAAAUUGGUGUCAAAAGAAAGCUCUCGGAACAAGCUUUCCAACGCCACCGGAAUCGCCUCGAUCGGACGUCGGAUGAAGCCGGAAUCGCGCCGGAAAGCCGCUGCCCACUGUGCGCGCGUUUUCUCUCUCCUCUCCCUCUCUUGCCGCCGUUUCUGGUGGUCCUGGUGGUCGCCGGAGGGUCGCCGGCCGGUGGGGAGCUGCUUGGGACGUCGCCGGCCGGUCACCGGAGAAAGGAAGAAGAAGAAGAAAGGGAAGGAGAGGGAAAGAAGAGAAAUGGGGGGGGGGGGGGGGGGGGGGG